rnacentral:rRNA from 1 species
GCCAAGCAGCGCGCGCCCACACGCACACACGCACACACAAAGAGCGUGCGUGCGAGAGGAGAGCGUGGCGUGUUCUCGCUGCUAGCCAGCCAGCCAGCCAUGGUGUCCUCCUCGGCGUCCGGCGGCAACGGGUGCACGGCGGCGGCGGUGCGGGAGGUGGCGACGGCGCGGUUCGCGCGGCAGGUGGUGCUGGGGCGCUGGUUCAUGGUGUUCGCCUGCCUGCUCAUCCUCUCCGCGUCGGGGGCCACCUACAUCUUCGGCCUCUACUCCAAGGUGCUCAAGUCGGCGCUGGGCUACGACCAGCAGACCCUCAACACCUUCGCCUUCUUCAAGGACCUAGGCGCCAACGUCGGCGUCCUCUCCGGCCUCAUCAACGAGGUCACGCCGCCCUGGGUCGUGCUCGCCAUCGGCGCCGCCAUGAACCUCGUGGGGUACCUCAUGAUAUACCUCGCCAUCGACGGCCGCACGGCGCGCCCGCCGGUGUGGCUCAUGUGCGUCUACAUCUGCGUCGGCGCCAACUCGCAGUCCUUCACCAACACCGGCGCGCUCGUCACCUGCGUCAAGAACUUCCCGGAGAGCCGCGGCGCCGUGCUGGGCCUGCUCAAGGGCUUCGUCGGGCUCAGCGGCGCCAUCUUCACCCAGCUCUACAUCGCCAUCUACGGCGACGACGCCAAGUCGCUCGUGCUGCUCGUCGCAUGGCUCCCCGCCGCCGUCUGCAUCGUCUUCGUCCACACCGUGCGCAUCAUGCCGCACCGCCCCGUCCGGCGCUGCGGCGAGGAGGAGACAGCCGCCACCACCAGCGACCCCUUCUACUGCUUCCUCUACAUCUCCAUGGCGCUCGCCACCUACCUGCUCGUCAUGAUCGUGGUGCAGAACCAGCUGGACCUCUCGCACCCGGCCCUCGUCGUGUCCGCCACCGCGCUCAUGCUCAUCCUCCUCCUCCCCCUCGCCGUCGUCGUCAAGCAGGAGUACAGGAUCAAGAGGGAGCUCGAGGAGUCCCUCCUCGUGACCCCGACGGUCACCGUCCAGAAGCCAGCUGCGCUCCAAAUGGCCGCCAAAACAGAGACAGAAACAGAGGACGCGACGACGUCGGCGGGAACGUUGGCUUCGCCGGCACGGCCGCCGUCUUCGAGCAGCUGCUUCGGGUCGUCCUGCUUGAAAGAGAUGUUCAACCCGCCGGCGCAGGGGGAGGACUACACGAUCCUGCAGGCGCUGGUGAGCGUGGACAUGCUGGUGCUGUUCCUGGCGACCAUCUGCGGCGUGGGGGGCACGCUGACGGCGAUCGACAACAUGGGCCAGAUCGGGCAGUCCCUGGGCUACCCGCCCAAGAGCAUCAAGACCUUCAUCUCCCUCAUCAGCAUCUGGAACUACGCCGGCCGGGUCACCGCCGGCUUCGCGUCCGAGGCGGUGCUGGCGCGCUACAAGUUCCCGCGCCCGCUCAUGCUCACGCUCGUCCUCCUCCUCGCCUGCGUCGGCCACCUCCUCAUCGCCUUCGGCGUGCCGCAGUCGCUCUACGCCGCCUCCGUCGUCAUCGGAUUCUGCUUCGGCGCGCAGUGGCCGCUGCUCUUCGCCAUCAUCUCCGAGCUCUUCGGACUCAAGUACUACUCCACGCUCUACAACUUCGGCUCCGUCGCCAGCCCCAUCGGCGCCUACGCGCUCAACGUGCGCGUCGCGGGCUACCUCUACGACGUGGAGGCCGCCAGGCAGCACGGCGGCACGCUGGACGGCGCCGGCGACAAGAGCUGCGUCGGCGUGCAGUGCUUCAAGCUCGCCUUCCUCAUCAUCACGGCCGUCACCGUCGCCGGCGCGCUCGUCUCGCUCCUGCUCGUCUGGCGCACCCGCAACUUCUACCGCAGCGACAUCUACGCCAAGUUCAGGGACGCCGCCCCCGCCGACGGCGAGCCACGGAAGCAGGCCGAGUCAAGCGCGGUCAACGGGAGUAGUGAGUAGCGUUCGUAUCCGUCCAUCCAUCAUCCAUGGGAGCGGAGCGGGUUCUUAGUUGACUCGGUGAACUUUGGUCAACGGGAGGAAGGAGCUGAUUAAUUACUGCAGGAGCUUGACUUGCUACUACUAGCCUAGUCUCUGUAACUUUUAGUGAUCGUCUGUUUUUACUUUUUACAUACAGAGGUUCUGAUCUUUUUUUUUUCUUUUUCUUUUUUGCUGUUGUAUGGGUAGCUGUCAGUGGCAUGUUGCAAGGGUAGCAGUAGAUGGGAGGUCCCGUUGGGAGUACGGAGCACAGCCAAGUUAGGCAGUGUUGUUGAUUUCGACGUGUAAACUUACGUACUACUACUAAUUAAGAAGAGGCUCACGCUGCUUAAUUACAGUAGCUCAUUAUGAAGAGAAAUUGACCGGAAACUCAUCGGUGCCGACUGUCAUCAAGACAAACAGUAAUAGCUCGCUUCGUCAGUAGCAAGAAUCAGUUUGUUUGGUCGAACGAACGUUGCUGAUCUUGUUGAAAGUAUGUAUCCAAC